rnacentral:rRNA from 1 species
GACGAACGCUGGCGGCGUGCCUAACACAUGCAAGUCGAGCGGAGAUUGCAGUAAUGCAGUCUUAGCGGCGGACGGGUGAGUAACGCGUGAGCAACUUGCCCUACACAGGGGGAUAACACUGGGAAACUAGUGCUAAUACCGCAUAACAACAUCUUAUGGCAUCAUAGGAUGUUCAAAGGAGAAAUCCGGUGUAGGAUGGGCUCGCGUCCGAUUAGCUAGUUGGUGGGGUAAAGGCCUACCAAGGCGACGAUCGGUAGCCGAACUGAGAGGUUGAUCGGCCACAUUGGGACUGAGACACGGCCCAGACUCCUACGGGAGGCAG